AGAGUUUGAUCAUGGCUCAGGAUGAACGCUAGCUACAGGCUUAACACAUGCAAGUCGAGGGGAAACGAUAUUGGAAGCUUGCUUCCGAUAGGCGUCGACCGGCGCACGGGUGAGUAACGCGUAUCCAACCUACCCUUGUCCAUCGGAUAACCCGUCGAAAGGCGGCCUAACACGAUAUGCGGUUCACAGCAGGCAUCUAAGGUGAACGAAAUGUGAAGGAGAAGGAUGGGGAUGUGUCUGAUUAGCUUGUUGGCGGGGUAACGGCCACCAAGGCGACGAUCAGUAGGGGUUCUGAGAGGAAGGUCCCCCACAUUGGAACUGAGACACGGUCCAAACUCCUACGGGAGCA
rnacentral:rRNA from 1 species